UACGUAGGGGGCAAGCGUUGUCCGGAAUUAUUGGGCGUAAAGAGCUCGUAGGCGGUCCGUCACGUCCGCUGUGAAAACCCAGGGCUCAACCCUGGGCUUGCAGUGGAUACGGGCAGACUAGAGGUAGGUAGGGGAGAAUGGAAUUCCCGGUGUAGCGGUGAAAUGCGCAGAUAUCGGGAGGAACACCGGUGGCGAAGGCGGUUCUCUGGGCCUUACCUGACGCUGAGGAGCGAAAGCGUGGGGAGCAAACAGG
rnacentral:rRNA from 1 species